CAUGGUGGGGAGGGGGUCCUCUCAGCCUUCAUUGCAAGAGGGCGCAGGCCAGGCUGGGGGACCCCACCAGUGCACA
rnacentral:pre_miRNA from 1 species